GCCUGGGUGGCUCAGUGGUUGAGCGUCUGCCUUUGGCUCAGGUCAUGACAUUGGGGUCUUGGGAUCAAGUCCCACAUCAGGCU
rnacentral:tRNA from 1 species